rnacentral:rRNA from 1 species
AGUAACACGUGGGUAACCUGCCCGGAAGUGGGGAAUACCUCGGGGAAACUCGAGCUAAUGCCGCAUAAAAUCUCCGGGACGAAAGUCCUGAUGAUCAAAGCGGGGUCGCAAGAUCUCGCGCUACCGGAUGGGCCCGCGCCCGAUUAGCUAGUUGGUGAGGUAAUGGCUCACCAAGGCAACGAUCGGUAGCCGGCCUGAGAGGGUGAUCGGCCACACCGGAACUGAGACACGGUCCGG